AGAUAUGUCGUUGUAGUCUCGUCGGAGAUCAGAUAGAAGAUCUACCGAUUCUAGUAGGCGUAUGAUGGAGGAAGUGGAGAUAAAGUAGGAAGGGUAGCCUCGGGCUUCAUGAGGAGCCCAGUCAUAGCCUGAGAUGGCUGGAGGAGGAGCGAUACCGGUCCACUCAAGUGAAUUGUCCACAUUAAACUCAACGUCGUCGAGGGGAGCUUCCUCCCGAACGGGUUGACCAAAGGACAGGGACGAAGAGGAAGUAGCCGAAGUCGAAGCAACCGCGUCGUCAGCGUACCCCCGAC
rnacentral:lncRNA from 1 species